CUCGAUAGGGGAAACUCCACAACUAAACAUGUACCCAAGAGACAGCAUACACUGCAAGACACCAAGUCUGGUCUGGUAUUCCGGUGAAAGAAGAAACCACGUGGAAGGUUUGCGGGAAACGGAGCAACAAUACGUACAAUACUAAUUAAAAAAAAAAAACCCUAAAAUAAAAUCGGCAUAAAUUGAGGAACACUGAUUAGGUGGCGAAAUGGUUCCAAAAGGUAACUUACCUCGAUUCGAGGGUUUUCUGGAAAUGUGGGGCAAUGACAAUUCUUUUCAAAAUCCCUCGAUGAGGAAGAUUCCCAUUCCAAACUCCAAAUAGAUCCAAAAGUAUGGGAAAUCAUAAAUUAGUGACCAAUUUACAUAUCCCCCUCUUAUUGGGGUAGCACUACCGGCUCAAAAAGAAAUCGGUCACACAAAAGAAAAUCUGCCACAACCCCAAGCUUCAAAAGCCAGCGUACAAAAUGCCGGACGAUUCAGACAACCAGUUUUAUUAAAAGGCUAAACGGGCACAAAAAAUUAGAGGGAAAACGCCACUCUUGCCAACCUAGUCGACGGUACGCCGCCAGUAGAAAGAACAACCGAACUAUAUCUGUGGUGAUGGCCGUAUGGCCCGUGCCAAAGAAUCGAGGUUGCGUCAACGAGAUCGAAUUACCCGAACGCUAUCUAUGGUGGCGACCGGACGGCCAGUCACAGAAAAUCGAGGAAGAAUAGGUUAAGAAACAAAACAAUGUUUACUAGGCUCGCCAAGGAAUACCGAAGUAAUGAAAAGCAAAUGUGGUCCCUAGUCUCAUAGGGUGACAGAUGGUAAUGGUUAUGACUCCUUCUAAUGCGCAACUAAUACUCUGUUUUUUGCAUUAGUAUCUCUCAGUAAACCGGUGUCACUUAAGAGAAAACCAAGCGAACAAGGGGCCACGCACACAGCCGUUGCAGCAUAAAAUAUUUAUGGUUCGGCAACACAAUCGGCCGGGGAGUACAAGUCCGAAACUAAAGGAACCGAGUCUACAAAAGAACGUGUGUUCAAAUUGCAAAAUCGAUAUGAACCUAAUAAACAAGAAUUUUAAUUGUUAAGAAGCACUCGCCAAACAGCAAAAAGGUGAAGGAAAUGGACAGUACAAUUAAUUAUACAAGGACCGGAUGAAGAUAAAAAUGCUGACCGGUACAGAUGUCUCUGGCCUUCCACAGAUAUUUAAAAAAAUAAUUCAUUCCGGAGCGCAUUGCAUGUGUAAAAAUUCGAUAACUGCAACCGCAGAGACUACCUUACAAUCUACAGUCAAAUAAAGGCUUUAGAGAAAACUGCAGUGUCGAUUUAUACAGGAUGAUAUUUUUUCGUAUUACAAAAAAAGAGCAUUUAACCGGAUCAACAGGCGAGAGUUAUGAAACUGAACGUACAUUUCUUGAUCUUAUGUUCUCCUGAUAAGAUACGCCGUUACACAUAUUUGUCAAAAUUAAUUUACUGUCCGAUGGGCGUCUGGAGGCAGUUUUUUGCAUACGUGCUAUUCCCGCAUUCGUUACAUUUUCUAGAAUUUCUAAUGUUGUCUGAUUAAUAGGUUGGGGUUUGUAAAGUAGAGAGAAACGUGUACACAAGUUCCCGUUCUCCGGGUCGAUUAGAAUUAUUGACGAAGGGGACAAGGGUUUCUGUUGUCAAACCACUUUGAUGCAAAACUGUUGACGGUAGUGAUGUGAACUCACUAACCAACCAACUCUAUAAGAGAAUUGUUGGUAGAAUAAUCCUCCGAAAACUGGAAUCUGGGGUGAGAAACCUGUGCCUGCUGUUGUGAAGAUAAUUUUAACUUAAGCCUUUACUAUUCAUAUCUUUAUUAUUGCAUUAAUAUACUUCAAGGAUUCCCAUGUGGUUUUCUUUGGUUGGAAAAUUUAUUUCUGUAUUAGACUUGUAAAAUCAUAUUUUAAAUUUAUAAAAUAAGAUUAAUUAAAUGACAAUGGACUUCAUAAUUUGGACAUAAUAAUUUUGAGUUCAUUUUAGGGAAAAAACUAUAUGUAAAUAACAACAAUGAAAAGAGAAAAUUGAAGCUUUGAUUUGUUGAUUGCCUCAAACUACAACUGCGUUCCUUUAACUAACCAAAGCUAUGAACACAUAGUGGGCAGCUUUAAUUGUUUCUACUUAAAGUUCAUUUGUUUAGCCUUUGUUAGCCAUACUCCAAAUGUUCUGCAAUUCUAUUCCUCUCAUUUUCUCACCUAUAAAGUAUAUAAAUGAUAAUUUUCAAGUGCCUAUAAAAGAUUUGAGUACUAUUUAUGUAUAAUUUGACCGAGCAAAUAAUUGAAUUUCCAAAAUUUGGGUUAUUAUUAAUUUUUACGGGGUCUCUAGCAUAAGCUUUGCACAACGUAGACCUGCGACUUUCAUACACUCUCCAAAAUUUAUGAAAUUGUGUUUAAGCUUCUAGAAUAGGUAAAAGUUAGGAUUUAAAAAAUUGUAAACAUUAUUAAAAGAAAAUACUAUUUCCUAACGAAAUUAAGUUGGGAAGCAGCGUGAAAUAAAUGAUUUGCUGCCCAUAAUAAGAUUAAGAAUAACAUUAAAAAAAUAAUUUGCUAACUACGCAAAAAGUUAUAUAGGGAGCAGUUUUCUCUUUUUCGAUUAGUCCUACUCUGCAAUAAUCCAACUUUUUUAAGUAAGUGUGGUUGCUGGUUGCUUCCGUUAAGAUAUGUAAAAUUCUACAUAAAUCUAACAUGAAAGAUAUUUGGUUGCCUUUAUUAUAUUUAUCAUGUUUACAGACUUAGACGCCGCUGGAUUAUUUUUAUCGUUACAAUUAGCUCAUUUCACAGGUUACUGAAUCAUAAUUGAAACGUAAGUAUACGCCCCCUUAAUCACCUGCAAGAAAGAAUGAUUAUAAUAAUGUAAUAUAAUAUAAUAAUUUUUUUCUUGUAAAUUAACGAUUUACAAGAUGGGGUUACGACAGAUAAUUUUGAUCAAGUACUUUUCUUGAUACGAAUGCUGUGAUCAGAUGCUGUGAAGAAUCGAGUAAGAAAUACCAUUGACGCACUUAGCUAUGAAUGUCUUACUUGAAGCAUAAUUCGCUAUACCAGAAAUAUAUGGACCAACUUAUACAAACUUAAAAAAUAUUCAUAAAAAAUAUUCAGUUAAAGCAUUUAUUUAAAAAAAAAAAAUUAAGCAGAUUGAAAAGUAAUUUUUAUAAUAACACCCUCAUUGGCUUGUACUUUCGUCUAAACAAGGGCAUUAAGUUAAUGAAAACACGCUGUUCUCAUGGUAAAAACCAGAAGUAAAACUGUCUAAUGGACUAGUUUCUCGGUUGCUGACCCUGGAUCCUGGUAGGAUAAUUUGGAGGAUCCCAUUAAGAAAAUUGCGCAAUAGGAAUUUUUGGCUUGUAUAUAAAGUGUGCACUAAUAUGUUCUGUAUUUUUUUCUGAGCAAUAAUUGACUGUUCUUCUGAUGGCUUGUUCAUUUGUGCUGAUACAAACUUUAUUUUCACUUAAUUAGGUCCUAAAAAUGGUGUCAGUAUGCGUUUUUUGGUGGUUAAAUCAUUUUUCGAAUGUGGUCUGGCUGAAAAAAUAACCUUAUUUUGCUUUUCUAAAAGUAGUGUUGCUAGCAUACCAAACUAAUUCCCAUUUUCCAAGAGCGAUAAAACUGACAGACAAAACUGAUUUUCAGACUAUAGGCGAUCAUCGUUCGUGUAUUGUCAGUUUUUGUGUGUUCAAGGGAUUAUAAGAAGAUAAUACAAAAAUAUAUCGCAUUAUUGUAUUUAAUUUCUAGGUGCCAAAUACAAAGGUGGAGUGGAAAAUUAUUGAAGCAAGUUUUAAUUAAAAAAAUUGCCUCGUGUUAUGACUCGAUGGAUGGAAAACAUGUGGAAAUAAAAUCUCCUGCCAGAAGUGAAAAUGAAUUAUUUAAUUAUAAAAAACAAGCUGUUGCCGACCACGACUACUCUUUUACAUAGUGACUUUGCAUCUGAUGAAUGCGUUUUCGAGACUGCUUAUUUUCCAACCACCUGGAAAAUUGUUUGUUACCCGAGUUAUGGUUGCAGAUUCAGCAAUUCCUCUUAAACGAACCAAAAAUAACUAUUAGUGCAAAAAAUAUUUCAAUACAGGCAGACACAUGGUCGAAAAAGCUUUUGGAAUCACUAAAAAAUGUUUGAAGCUUGUGCACUCCAUUAUUGUUACGAAAAAGGUCCGAAUCCUAUAUCACUGAAACAUGUGUAGAUAAGAAAUAUCAUACCAGAUUCGUGGAAAAAAGCAUUUCCAAUCAAGGCAGUGAGCGUUCGGCAAAUGAGGCUAGAAAAAAAUGAGAGAAAUAGCUUCAUUUAUUUAUAACCGACAUAAUUAUUAUUAUGACUUAAUUUACGAGGUUAGCGCCAAAAUUUUCCGGCCUGACAUAAAUGCAGCUCCAGUAUCACGAUAAAACUUUUGUCUUUUUUUAAAUAUAUAUCUUAGUAGGCUGCGAAAAAAAAAUCUUGCGUCAAAUAAUUAUUUAUGGACAGCGUUUUAAACAAGGCGUCUCCGAAAAAAUGUCGCAAAUAACGCAAAUUAAAUAUAGAGCAGUCAUAAAGUUUUUGACAAAAGAAGGGUUAGCACCUAAAAUUAUUAAAGAAAGGCUGGAUGGUGUAUACGGCCAAAGUUCUCCUUCGUAUUCUGUAGUGAAAGAAUUAGCAAAAGGCUUUUGAAUGGAGCAGGAGUCCCUUAAAGAUGAUUCAAGAACUGGUCGACCAGUGGAGGUCAUAACGGAAGAUAUUGUUGCGAUUGUGGAAGAGGUGGUAUUGAGUGAUCGACGUUUAAAGGUCAAGGAAAUCUCAGAAAUUACUAAGCUUUCUGAUUCAAGUGUUUGUCGAAUCCUGCAUGAUCAUUUGGGUAUGCAUAAGGUUAGUGUAAGAUGGGUUCCUAAACACCUUUCGGCUAUUCAAAAACAACGCCGUGUCGAGGUUGCGCGGUCUUUUUUGGAACUCUGUGGGUCGGAACCGAAGCUUGUGAUAGAAACUAUUAUGACGGGAGAUGAAACUAUGGUUCUCUAUUAUGACCCUUUAUCGAAAAAAGAAUCAAUGGAGUGGC